rnacentral:tRNA from 1 species
GGGGAUGUAGCUCAAUGAUAGAGCGCCUGCCUAAUACCCAGGAAGCCCUUGGUUCAAUCCCCAGCACUA